CCUACGGGUGGCAGCAGUGAGGAAUAUUGGGCAAUGGACGAGAGGCUGAACCAGCCAAGGAGCGUGAAGGAUGACUGCCCUAUGGGUUGUAAACUUCUUUUAUAAAGGAAUAAAACGAGGCACGUGUGCCUUUUUGCAUGUACUUUAUGAAUAAGGAUCGGCUAACUCCGUGCCAGCAGCCGCGGUAAUUCGGAGGAUCCGAGCGUUAUCCGGAUUUAUUGGGUUUAAAGGGAGCGUAGAUGGGUUGUUAAGUCAGUUGUGAAAGUUUGCGGCUCAACCGUAAAAUUGCAAUUGAUACUGGCAGUCUUGAGUACAGUUGAGGUAGGAGGAAUUCGUGGUGUAGCGGUGAAAUGCGUAGAUAUCACGAAGAACCCCGAUUGCGAAGGCAGCUUACUAGACUGUGACUGACAUUGAUGCUCGAAAGUGUGGGUAUCAAACAGGAUUAGAUACCCUAGUAGUC
rnacentral:rRNA from 1 species